UACGUAGGGGGCAAGCGUUGUCCGGAAUUAUUGGGCGUAAAGCGCGCGCAGGCGGUUUGAUAAGUCUGGUGUAUAACCCCAAGGCUCAACCUUGGAUGGCACUUGAAACUGUCAGACUAGAGUGCAGGAGAGGAAAGCGGAAUUCCACGUGUAGCGGUGAAAUGCGUAGAUAUGUGGAGGAACACCAGUGGCGAAGGCGGCUUUCUGGACUGUAACUGACGCUGAGGCGCGAAAGCGUGGGGAGCAAACAGGAUUAGAUACCC
rnacentral:rRNA from 1 species